CUGGAGGCCACCUGGUGCCACCCUGCUCCUGCAGGGACACCCAGAGCAGGGUGCCCAGCACCACGUCCAGGCAGCU